ensembl:lncRNA LINC00299 long intergenic non-protein coding RNA 299
GGUUAAGGCAUCUCCUUGAGGAGGCCCAUGUUCAAUUACUGGUUGACACAGGAAUAUGAAGGCCUGGCCCUCGUCUCAGCUUGGAAUAAAUCUGAAGGCCCAUCACAGCUUCAGAGAUGCUUGGAGAAGGCUGAGGUCUCCCCUGUAACCUUAUGAGAACCUUGAGUUGUUGAACUCAUUAAUUCUUUGGGACCAUCUUCCUGAUGUUCAAGUUUGUGAAACAGGCUUUCCCUUUAAGAUUUGUUUUCCUCAAAAUACAAGACUAUUGAUGCUUCAGUUUUGAAGUGGAUUCUGCACUCAAGAAAUGUACCAUUGAAGAAUGGGACUGGUAGGAAGGGAAAAAAACUAAAAGGAAACGCAUUUUCGAGUUGCACAUCAUGAUCAGGCACAGAGUCCAGAUACACUUGGAGUAGCAAGCAUCCAUCCUUGUGGAGACGCACAUGAACCAGGACUCUCUGCACCCACCCCUCUCAAGUUUUAUUUUCCGACGGCUGUAAUGUUCCAGGACACCUGCCAUCAUGGAGGGUUAUCCAGCACCUGGAGGAUACCUGCUACCUGGUGAAGGACUUUAGUACGAUGGUCAAGACAAGAACCGUGGAGUCAGAAUGCCUGCAUGCAGAUCUCAUCACCAUGGGUAAGUGGCAAGAGCUGGGCGAAAGGCUAAUCUCUGGGGCUGUCCGUGUUCUCAUGUGUGAAGGAGAAUUCUCUGUUGUCUGUUCCAGCUUCUGGUGUUGCCGGCCAUCCUUUGCACUCCCGUCUUGCGGCUGUGUUGCUCCAGUCUCUGCCUCUGUUGUUACAUUGCAUCUGCUGUGCAUCUAUGUCCACAUUUCCCUCUUCUUAUAAGGACAGAGGGCCCAUCCUAAUGACCUCAUUUUAACCUGAUUACAUCUGCAAAGACCCUAUUUCCAAAUGAGGUCAUGUUCACAGACGCCCGGGGUUAGGACUUGAACAGAUCCAUUUUGAGGGCACACACAAUUCAACCUAUAACAGAGGGCUAGAUGUGAGACGGUGCCCCCUCCUACCCUUCACUCUGUCUCAAAAUCUUUAGAAAUAUUUUGAUGGAGACUAAAUUCCUGGUAGAAAUAUCAGCAAUCUCUGAAAUGACAGUUUGGGUAUUUUUUCCAGAAUAUUAUAAGACAAGGUGACCCCAGAUGAACUUGGGCCCACUCUGGUUACAUACGUGUCAUGAGUGCUUAGUGAACUGUGUGUCAAAUGAAUUACCUAACUUCAUUUGUACCAUGGCCAACUCUGUGUCAUCAUUGCAGGAUUCAAGUCUGGCUUGUCUGGGGCCAAGCUGAGUUCUCCAUGCAGAGAGGUACUUAAUAAAGGCUUCCAAUGUUUGUGCAAUGAAAUGAAAGAUCUGCGGGGCUGUUAGGUUCUCAGACAAAAAGAUUGCUAUGCAAAUUCAGAGCCUCAUUAUUUCACCAAAGGUUGAAAAACUAAAAACAGAUCUGGUAGCAUAGUCCCCUUGGUUGGCAGGAGCAGUGCUUUGGACCCGGGUCACAUUCUGAUGUCUCCUUGAUCAUAAACACCUGGUUCCCAAAGCGUCCGCAGUUUGUUUCAUUUUUAAAGACCAGGAUGGCAAAUUUAAAAUUCAAAUUCUUUUGAACAGCGGAGAGAAUGUAGCUAUAAAAGUGUUUCAGACCACAGUGUUUUAAAUGAAGGUUAAUUUUCUGAUAAAAUAGGAAAUGAAGGAAAAAUUAUCUCCCUGCACGCAAGCAUGGUUUAGAAUACUAUAGCUCAAUUAGAUGUUCUGAUUGUGCAAACAAUCAGCCUCAUGUCUUGUUAAACUUCUCUUUUUCAAAUUAUGAAGCUUUUCUAUACUAAGAUUAGCAGGAAUAUUAAGGGUAGAACAGAUAAAAGAUCCAUCUGAGCCAGAAGAAAAAUUAUAACUUAAGAAGUCUCAAAACGAAAUGAACUUCCAAAAAUCCCAUGGUGUGUCCAACAUUAUUAAAAAAUUGUCCAGCAUGAAAAUUAACUCCUAGACUCAGAGGAAAGAAGUUAUUAUUCUUUGCUUUAAGAUACUGAGUACAUUUUACUCAAUGGAAUUUUGCUUUGCACAUACAGAAAUACGUUAUACAUCAUGCAUGUUAAUCAGACCUAUGCAAGAUAUUGUUUGCAAAGUAGUUUUGGGGAUACAGGGUGUUUACUUCACAGGGGCUGGGUUCAGGGGAAAGGGAAGCAAAGACCAUUAGAACGUCUUACGUUUUGCUGCAAAGCAAUUUUGAUACCAUAAGUUUUUAUAAGUAUAUGACUUCUGAUUUAUUCUCAAGCAUUUAUAUUUAACUUUCACUGGGUUGUAUCCAGAGCAAAGAGCCAUACAGUCAUUUUGUGCUGCGUGCGUCUUUUCUACUUUCAGGGCUUGUAGUAAGGUUACAGAAUGUGCUGGCACUUCCCAGAGUUUGUCUAUUAAGCGAAUGAGCGAUGCAUCAUCUUGGUGAGAUAUUUGGUCCAUUUCGCGCCUCUCUCUUCUCAUUCCCGCCCUCCACAUUUGUUUCCCUGUAGCUGGGCCUCUCCUGUUCUGAUGGCAGCCGUGCAUCCUGGCCACAUCUACCUAGGUGGCUUCUCCUGGAAUUUCUUCUGGUUAUCCUUCCAGCCUUUGUGUCAGCUCUGAGGCCACAUCUUUCAGGAAGCUCUAUCUGCCCACCAGGCUCCCCACUGCUGGGUGGCUCCUCCCUGCUUCCCUGAACGUUCUGGACCUUUGCACAGUUCUGACCUUGCUGCUUCCUGGCUGUCUCCAAUCUGAACUCUAAGCUCGAUGGGUGUAAUGUGUGGGUUGGGCUUGCUCUGGUGUCUCUGGCAGGUGGCACCAGGCCUGAUAUGUAGUGGGUGCUUGACUGCUGUCUGUUGCUCUUAGAAAAAGUAAUAAUUGAGUAUAUUUGGGAGUUCCCAGAGGAGACACACAGAGACUCUCCUUUGAAGAUGAGAUACACUCUUAUAAAACCUGAAAAAUUUGACCCUAAAAUCUCCCUAGAACUGAGAGGGCUAUGCAGAGGUUGCCUGGGAUGAAGGUUCAUUACACUAUGAUUCCCAGGUUAGGAUGAGGGUUGAGGGGAUGAAGACAUUUUAGGCAGAUAAGUGGCCAGGAGUUUAGCAGAUUUCAUCACUUUAUUUGGGCCAAUGCAGUGAAUUAUUGAAAAUAAUAGUGGAUGAGACUUUAUGUCAUCUCAGAAAAGGGAGCUAAGAAGCACUGUCCUGUGUACUUUACAUCAAUCCAUCAUUUUCUGAGGUGGAUUCAGGUAUUAGCAUUUUAUUUAUUUACGUAUUGAGUUUUGAGAGGAAGACUCACUCUGUUGCCCAGGCUGGAGUGCAGUGGUGUGAUCUCAGCUCACUGCAACCUCCACCUCAUGAGUUCAAGUGAUUCUCCUGCCUCAGCCUCCGGAGUAGCUGGGACUACAGGUGUGUGCCACCAUGUCUCGCUGAUUUUUUUGUAUUUUUCAUUACAGAUGGGGUUUUGCCAUGUUGGCCAGGCUAGUCUCGAACUCCUAACUUCAGGUAAUCUACCACGUUGGCCUUCCAAAUUGCUGGGAUUACAGGGGUGAGCCACUGCAUCCGGCCAGGUACUUGCAUUUUAGAGUGAAGGACUUUAGUAUAAUGGUCAUGACAAGAACUUUGAAGUCAGACUGCCUACGUACAAAUCUUUUCUCCAUGUAUAGAAGGUAAGGGCCAGGCACGGUGGCUCAUGCCUAUAAUCCCAGCACUUUGGGAGCCCGAGGCAGGUGGAUCAUGAGGUCAGGCAAUCGAGACCAUCC